rnacentral:rRNA from 1 species
UAUCUCUGUAGAGUCUGCAUAUCAAUAAGCGGAGGAAAAGAAACUAACUAGGAUUCCCUCAGUAACGGCGAGUGAAGCGGGAAGAGCUCAAAUUUGAAAUCUUCAAGGUUCUACCUUGACGAAUUGUAGUUUAAAGAAGUGUUUUCUGUUGGAGUUUUGGUAAAAGUUCUUUGGAAUAGGACAUCAUAGAGGGUGAGAAUCCCGUAUUUGACCAUUAUUUCCAGCUUUGUGAUACACUUUCAAAGAGUCGGAUUGUUUGGGAAUGCAGUCCAAAAUGGGUGGUAAAUUUCAUCUAAAGCUAAAUACUGGCGAGAGACCGAUAGCGAACAAGUACCGUGAGGGAAAGAUGAAAAGAACUUUGAAAAGAGAGUUAAACAGUACGUGAAAUUGUCAAAAGGGAAGCGUUUGACACCAGUGUUGUUUUUCUCGAAAAUCAAUUAAGAAUGGCUCGAUUCUGUUGUUGUAUGACCUUAUAAGCUCUACUUACAUUUUUCGAUGUCUUUUUUAAUGCACUUUUCGGUUAACAAGUCAACAUCAGUUUCUUUUGUUGUAAAAGGGUCAUUGGAAGGUGGCUUUCUUUUCGGAGAAAGUGUUUAUAGCCUUUGGCCUCUGCAAUCGGAGAGACUGAGGUCUGCAGCGUAGACUCUUCGGGGUUAGAUACAUUUGUGCUAAGUUAUAGCUUUUUAUAGACAACUUGUUGACUAUAAUUAGUCUUGUAGCUUACUCGCUUAUGCUAUUUUACCUACGCUUAGGAUGUUGACGCAUGAGAUAUACGC